GAAAAAGAAAAAAAGCAAUUAAGACAAGAAACGCCGCUUGAAUUGGGACAAUAAAAGUCAUCUCUUAAUAAGAAUACGUGUUGAGACUUGGCUUUUCCUUCUUCCUCUUUUGAUUCUCCUCUUGGAUCAAUCUCCGGCGGAGGAGGGGAAACAAGCGGCUGCUUCCGGUUAUUACGGUGGAUUCUUUGAAGCUCAAGGCACAUGGAACGCGCGUAAGGACGAGAGAAGGAGUCGCACAACCGUGAGGAGUCACGUAAUAAGGGAGGUGAACCCCGGGAUGAAUCGGUGAGUUCGGUUGCGGAAGUUUCUUGAUGUCAUCAACGUCCGGUUUACUUCGGUGGUUGGAUAAGCGAUGGAAGUUGUGAGGAGGAGGAGGAGGAGGAGAGAGAUCAAGAUCGAACGGUUCAUGUGUGUCGUCGCCUUUAGUUACUAAUGCUAUAUCUGUAACAAAGUUUCAAAGCGUCACAGAAUCAACAAGACAACUACAUUCAGCGACUGGUGGGUUUAGCAAGUCUAAUGUUGUUGGUCACGGUGGGUUUGGAUUGGUUUAUCGUGGUUUGCUUAACAACGGGAGAAAAGUUGCUAUCAAGUUUAUUGAUAAUGCAGGAAAUCAAGGUGAAGAAGAGUUCAAGAUGGAGGUUGAGCUGCUAAGCCGUCUGCGUUCACCGUACUUGUUGUCUCUUCUUGGUUAUUGCUCAGACAAUAGUCACAAACUGCUUGUGUAUGAGUACAUGCCAAAUGGCUGUCUGCAGCAACACCUGUAUCCUAUUAAUAGUUUCAAAGGCCUCCUGGACCAAUUCCAUGGUCAAUGCUCGGAUUAGAAGUCUACACAGGAGCCAUUGAUAACUUUGGUUUUGAGGAUUACUUGAAUGGAUAUCAAGCCCUUUAAGCAUGUCCACGUCAGCCAGUAAUAUUGCAACAAUCAUCCACGUCAUCUUUGAUGAAUUGCCAUGUCAUAAAAGCUUUGUUCGGAAAAAAAAUACCGAAACUUUCGUGUGAUCAUGAUAUUUUCUAAUGGCCCAGUCAAGCCCACUUCUCGAAACGGCUCACACCUUUGUCGUCUCAGUUUUGUAUCCCUGCAAAUCUCCGUUACCACAACCCUUUCUUUAUCAAUCAAUUAUACCUUUUACUCCUUUUUUAUGGUUUCCUUUCACCUCCUCCCUAUGUAUCUUCUCCUAUAAAGAUCGUUUCUUCAAAAUUUUAACCCAAACCAAAAUCGAAAAACCUCCACUAAUGAAGGUAAAGCCUAUGGCCAUGAAAAAUAAAUAAUUCAGUCUCUUGCUCUUCCUCUACUCUACAUACCCGGUAAUCAAACCCGCAGUAUUCAUAGCUAUAAAACGGCGAAAUCCACCGCGUUUGCCAUCAAGUUUGCUUGCUUCCAUUGUUGCAGCUUCAUAACUCGUGCCCUGUUUGUCAUAUGAGUUCCCCACAGACGAUGCUGAUUACAAGUUCAUGACUCAUGGAGGUCAGACCAGUGGGGAAGUCGGACAACGAACGGUUGAGAGUUCCCCGACGCCGAGGAGGUUUAGUGUAUCAUAUCCAUGGCCACUCAGGAGACAUGAUACGAAUUAGGAUUCUGUGAGUGGAUCUGAUAUCGAUACUAGAAAUUCAUGGCAUACACUGAAAUUCUCUAAACAUUUGAAGAUCAAGAGGAGUUAAAAGAGAUUUUGACCUUCGAAUGCUAGCAAGAAGGCGGAUCAAUGGGAAGCUUUUCGAAUAUACUCUGUACACAUUCCUUUUACCUGUCCUUCUCUCCAAUAUUUGUGUUGCCAGUGUUAACAAUGGGUUAUGGAGAUGGGGAAGAAGCUUGCAAAGAGGAUAAGGAAGCAAAGGGCCUUACAUUGUCCUGAGUCUAAUUGUGGCUUUGAAAAUUUAUUUUCUACACCGAAGAAAAGAAGAAGCCAGUGACUGUUUUAACGUUUUGUUGUCUUCUAGGCUCUGUAAAUGUUCUUAAAACUGGUGUUUUGAUGAUUAUGUGCCUCAUAUUUGUUUUUCUUUCUAUGGAUAGGUUAUAAAUCACAGCUCAUUGAAUGAAAAAAAGUACCUAACUCCGUAUUUUCCAAUGGUCUUACAUAAUCGUCUCCAAUGGCAUCAGGGGCCUUAUGCUACUGUCGAUAUACUACAGAUUCCACCAAUAUCAUAUCUUCAAAGCCAAAAAGGGGGAAGAUGAACAUGGCGACUUGAAGCCAGCCUCUAUCGCUGAGGGUGGAAACUGCAGCAAACCAUAGUAGACGCUAGAAGGUGCUCGCAGGUUGAAGCAAAAGAAGUUUUCUUUUCUGUUACAAAGCUUUCCCAAUCUAAAGACACUGGUUUGGGAAAGAAUGGUUUACUUUAUCAUAAAGGAACUUUCUCCAUCAGCGGAUAAAGUUUGUAGUUUGUAAUUUGCUUAAGUAGCUGAAUCCUAACACUAAUACUGAGGGUAUAGUUUCUGAAUUCUGAUAAUUUGUUUGUUUUUCUAUGGUUAGUAUUGUUACAAGCUCCCUGAUCAGCGAUAUGAAUAGCAAGAUUGAUAUGUAUCUUGCAAAUGGUACAACUCUCUAAUACCGAAUAAUAGACAAAACCCUUUUUACACAAAUUAAGUGGUACUUGAAACAAGCGAUUGUGGAUAAGAACUAUGUUGUUUCAAGCUCUGUUAGUAAGUUCUUUUGCAUGAUUCUUAGUUGCAAAACCAAAACUCAGGUUAUGCUGCAAAAUGAUUAGUUUCAUAAAUAUCAGCUUCUACAUUGAUAUAUAUGUAGAAAAAGAA